UCACAGUUAUUACGGUUAUUACUGACUAAAUUUUAUUAUUUUUCGCUCUCGAACCGUUGAUAUUCCAUAGAAAUUUAUUCCUUCUAUUGACAUUCGACUUCAUCUGGCAAAUGUCAUUCGUCUGACAAAUUAUUCUGGAGAUGAUGCAGUAUUAGGGUAUUCUGUGGUGAUAAAACAUCUAAACGAUGUACACAAUGCGAUCACCUUCAAUGUGAUAUCGAAUCAAGUAGUCAAUGUUUUUUCCUCAAUUGACGUUCAAAUUGGAUUCAUUUCAAAAAGUAAAAAACGGAUUACGGACCUUACCUGUAUUUGUUUGGCUUGUAACCUACCUACCGAAGGGUCCGGCGCCGAUUGACCGACGCAUAGGGCUGAGAUAAAAGAUCUCCACUGCUGGCGAUCCGGAGCCAGAGUCUUCACUUGCUGUCAGCCAAGGUUCUCGUCAACUGUGCGGAUUUCAGCGGAUUUUGGUUUGAAAUUUAGCUCAUAUGCAACAGCGGUUCGAAACAUAUUCUUUGAUUCCAAACAGCCGGUUACAUCAAGACAGUGCGCAGUGUAAUAUUAGGAUUUCAUUAAUGCGGUGAAUGAAAAACAAAAGCCAUUUUUCCUCAAAAUUUGGGCAACAAAAGAGCCGGCAACGUUGUCACGGUUUAUCAAUAAAUAGGCACAGGAGGAAAACGUUGAAAAUCAUUAGGUGUGACUAUUCUUGACAAAUGGAUUUCAUAGGAACGGUUGGCCUUUCUAUUACUGCACUGGUUGAAAUGUGAUUUUCCAGGGUGUUACUUAAUUUAUUAUACCAUACUUCUUAAUAUUCUUUGCUAUCAAUGCAUAAGCCCAAUUGUUGCAACAGAAGAGAAGGAACGAAAAGAACGACAAUGAUUAAUCUCAAACUUCAACGUAACGAAAGGAAGGGAAAUCCUUCCUCAAGCUAAAAAAAAUACCUACAUAUAACAGUUUGUUAGACCUUGGGAAGCUUCUUGCUCAUUUCGUUUGUAGUCUAUCGCUAGAUUCUAACUACAAUAACGGUACACAUUUUACCCACAGAAAAAAGUGAUGUUACGCAGAAAGUUAAUUGGCUGCUUGCUACCAUCAUUCGAGGAAGAGCACUGUGUUCUGUUGGCUUAAGCUGAUAUUUUUAGAUUAACCCUUUCUCGAUAGCAUUCCUGUUUAGCAAACGACUUCGGUUGAAAACGAGGAGUAAUAGGUGUUGCUGGAAAAUUUAAUGAUUUUCUCUCAAUGGUUUUCCGUAAAUAACGAAGACUGACUUAUCGUUCAAAACUGUGGUUUAUUCUCAUUUUAUGCAACAUAGUUUUGAUUGAAUGCAAUGUAUCGAGUUAGUGGAAUUUUCGCUCAUUAAGAUAACAUUUUAGUUUGCCAUAUAUAUGUGGCACCCACUAUGAUAUGGAAAGAACCACGUGUGGGUUUGUAGCACAUCUAUAGACAAUAGAAAAUGAUAUGGCUUGAUUGCGUAAGACAAUUGUCUAGGCGUUUCUCGGAUUUUGGACAACCCACAUGUGAAAGGUUCUUCAUCUUCUACACAUACAUACAAUAGCUAUCGCACCUUGCCUUAGGAUUCGUAAUGAUUGUCACGUACGAAUCGGAAGGCGAGUGUGAGCGAGGUGUUCUCAAGAAUAUUAUGGGGAUGAAAUCAGA